UUUUUAAAGGUUGGGUUUAGUUAACCUCAACUUAUCCAAUUAAAACAUGGGACUGAAAUUUAUUAAGAGAUUUACCAUGAAAGUUAGUUGAUGCCCGCAUCAUUUCCUCCGGGGUGGAAAGAUCUCGAUCCUGUCAAGAUGGCUUCCAUGUAGUUUUCGUACAAGUCUUUGCGAAGACUGAUGUUCAGCUUCUUCCACCUAGUUACAAUCUGAUAAUGGUCGUCCUUCCCACUUAACAAGGAAUCGUCGAGUCACUCCUUGACGUGUAGCAGUAUUACGCACAUCCACGAUGUCCUCAAUCCGGUCCGUUGUACUGUUGCUCGUGUUAUGAAAAGGCGAAGCAUUGGUUUCAGUAAUUAUUGGUGGAUCCCCAUAGAAUUUGGAUGUUGAAUACUGGUGAAGUUGGUAUGUCGGUCGGAAGUUUUAGUAGAUAAGCAUUAGGUCCUAAUCUUUUGAUGAUGCGAUAACGGCUAAAUUUUUUCCUGCUCAGUUUGCUAUACGUACGAACUGGAAAUAUUUCUUUUUGGAAAUGGACCAUGACAAAAUCCCUUUCGUCGAACACUUUCUCUUUUCGAUGUUGAUCGGUGGCUUCCAUAUAUUUAUGAGAUGAAACCUAUAGCUUAUCAAGGAUACUUUGAUGUGUUUCCUCAAUUUUUUUUAAGUAAGCUUCUGCAUCAGCACUGAUUCUUUCGAAAAAAGAUAGAGGAUUUCUAUUUAGGAUGUGAGAAAUAGGUCGGCCAUACAAGGCUUCAAAAGGGUAUUUUUCAAUUGUUCUGUUAAUAGAGCUGUUAUAGGUGAAUUCAGCUUGUGGUAGAAUUAAGUCUCAUUGGUAUGGCUUUUCUCCUGUGAAACACUUUUGUAAAUUUUCUAGGGAUCGAUUGACCAUUUUAGUUUGUCCAUCUGUUUGGGGAUGGUACGCACUGCUGAAUUAUAAUUUUAUUCCCAAUUUAGACCAAAGAGUUCUCCAAAAAUAGCUUAAAAAUUUAGUAUCUCUAUCUAAUGUGAAAGAUUUAGGAAUGCCAUGCAGACGUACUACUUCUUUGAAAAAUAAGUUCGUUAUAUGUGAUGCAUCUGAAGUUUUUUAACAUGGUAUGAAAUGUGCCAUUUUUGUGAAUCGAUUAACAACAACAAAAAUUAAAUCUACUUUUCGAGCAGUUCGUGAUAAGCCUAAUACAAAGUCUAGGGUGAUGUCCUCCCAAGGAGCAAUAGGCAUCGGUAAAGAUGUAUAUAACCCCAUGUUUUGUUUAUGGCCUUUAAAAGUUUGACAAGUUGGGCAUCUCUCUACAAAUCUCACAACAUUUCUCCGCAUCUUAAGCCAAAAGUAUCUUUCUUGUACUAAUCCCAAAGUCUUGUCUUGACCAAAAUGUACUCCUAAACUUUUGCUGUGCAAUUCUUGUACCAAGUUCUCUCUAAGUGAUCCUUCAGGUAUACCAAAAUCAUAUUUCUUUAAAUAAAUAUCCAUCCUGAAUGAAAAAGAAAAUUCUGGAUCUACCUCUUCGCUGUCCUAUUUGGGUGUUAUCCUCUUCGUAAUCUGAGCCUGGAUUGGCCCCUCUUCUCUAUUUGAGUCUAGAUUGGCCAUGCCUCUCUCUUAUUAUUACUAUAAGUGUCGCUCGAUGCCCCACUCAGAGUUGACGGCUGAACAUAAGCUUUCAUGACUUCUUUAGAAAUUGUAGUGCUCUUCUUGUUUGCUGUUCCUGUUGUGCAGAGCAAAAAAUUAUAGGCUGAAGCAAUUACAAUGUUGAUUUGCUGCUGAAAAUCAGUCCAGAACAGUUGAAAGUUGAAGUUACUUGCAGCUGAAAGGAACUUUGAUGCUUCUCAAUAGCUUGGGCUGAGAGCAGAGAAUUAUAGGUUGAAGCAAUUACAGUACUGAUUUGUUGCUGAAAAACAGUUCAGAACAGUUGAAAAUUGGAGUUACAGCUGAAGGAAACUUUGACGCUUCUCAAUAGCUUGGGCUGAGGUAUUAAUUUUAACCCAAAGCUCUCCACUUUCAUCUAAACCUAUCUAAACCUAUUUGAAACCCAUUUUUAACCUAGAACCUACAACUUCCACUCCACUCCACAAAUCUGAACUUAUCUAACUAAAGACUUGGGACUGAUGUUUAUUUUGAGAGUCGUUAGAAAGUUUGUUUUCUGUUAGUUGCUUUGUUAAUAAAUUGUUAUUCGAAUAAAUUAUGAUUUAAUUAAGUUUAUGUUUGACUUUUUUUUUAAUUCCAAUAAAAUUUGGUACAUUUUCUUGUGAUUCAAUUAAUCAUUUUGGUUUCUUUCCCUAUUGAAUUGUAUUUUGUUUUCUUAUUUAUUGCCAGUGGUUCUCUAAAAGUGGGAAAACAAUAUUUGUAGUGCAUCAGAUGCCUUGCUGGCAUUUGGUCGCUCUUAUGGAGUUUUCAUGGACUAUGUGGUAUAAUUUCUCAUUCUUGUCGGUUCCUUUUUUUGGAAAGGAACAUGAGAAAUAUGUUAUAUGGUAUUAUUGACUUUUGGUGAAUAGUGAGUAUUCUGCUCUAUCCUAAAGUGGCCUUCAAUUAAAUUUCAUGGAAGCAGGAUCAUGAUUCCAAACAAUGGUCUUAAAUUACAGCCACCAUGUAUGUUGCUUACGUUUUGAUUUUGUUUAAUGUUAAUGCUCUAUAAGCUUAUUCUUCAAAACUGUGGGCAUAAUUUACUCAUGUUCUUAUUGGUUUUUGUCAUCAAAGAUAAUGUAGUUGUUGAAGUAUAAAGUACCAGAAUACAGGUCUGAAGUCAUAUUGGCACAUGUGGUGUACAUCUGCUCAUGCGGCCACUGUAGUGGUUAAUUUAAUCUGCCUUCUGGUGAAUGUUCAUUGCUAGCAUUGCGGAGAGAUAUGUGAAUUACAAUUUUUUUAGAAGGUACUUAUGAAACUUUGAUUUAAUAGAUUUGCUUCUAAUAUAACGUAUUUGUCAAUAUCAGAUGUUUAAGAUUUUCUUGUCAAUAGUGGAUUUCACCGUUCUGAUAAAAAGCUUUAAUGAAACAAAUAUUUUGAGCAUUAUCAGUGGCAUUAUAUCUUCCAAACAGAAUAGUCUAGAUGUGUGCACAUGUGAUUUGACAUAUCGUGCUUGGUAUUGGAAUUUAUGUAUGGUUGGUAUGUAUUCCAAUAACAUAUUCAACAAAAAGUUUUUUUUUUUUUUUGUUAUUUGAAUAUGUAUAUAGUUUGUAGAUGCUUGGACGCAUGAUUUGCAGGUUCUCUUAUGGAAUAUUGUUUUUUGUGAUGGAAACUGUUGUUGUGUCUGGGUCCGGCAAAAACCUGAGUAUGAAUCAGUGAUCCAACGCGCUUAGGCUCAUGACUUUUCAAUAUUUCCAUCUAGUGUAUGAUUGAGACAUCAAAAUAUGCACUCAUGGAAGCUUUAACGAAUGUACAUGGUGGUAAUUUUUUAUUUCUAAUGCAUCUCUGAUGAAUGUUGGUAACUUAAUUAUUCAUGAUCUUGUUUGAAUUUUUUCUUUGUUCGGGACAAUGAUAGAGACUUGAAAGAGAUCUUUUUCCAAUUUUCAAAAUUAUUUUUUAGGCCAAGAUGAAGUGCCGUGGCCCUUGAAAUAGCAUCAGCUGGCACACCUGGGAUUUCCGUUUCUUGUUCAUGGGUGGACAAUUCGAUAUUGACAUCAAGAGUUACUUAUGAUGAAUGUGUGGCUUUCGUAGACACUUGGCAGUACUUUUUAGAAAGUUGAUUGAUAAAUUGUGAAGAAAUAAUUAAGGUUCAUUGGCUGAUUAGUCAUUGUAGGGGUUAAUUUCUUCAUAGAAACAGUGUCUAUGCAGGUAACAGGUAUCAGAAACCAAGGCUGGUUGCAGACUGAAAAAGUGUAGUGUCAAUACACCCAAUGUAUUAGUAGGAGGCCUGGAAACAAGAGAUAAUGGAAAAAAGUGUGCUAUAUUGAGGAUUUGUUCUUCUACAACGGAAGAAUGUGGAUUUCUUCUGUCAUAAUUUAGAGAAUUUUAACUUGUGGCAUGCAUUUGUUUAUCACUAUGAGAAAAGAUCUGGCCUUUCUUGUGGAUUUCUCCAAUGAUUAAUAGGUGAGGCUUGAUUACGGAUUAUUGGAUUGAGUUGGUA